rnacentral:miRNA from 1 species
ACUUGGUAGAAAUAUUGCGGC